CUGGAUUUUUCUAGAACGUACGACUAGAUAAUAAACAUAAACAUUUAGAUAAUUACUACAUUGCUUCAUAUUAAUACACGCUCAGAAGUUUCGAGUAGUAAAAUCACAUACAGAGAAUAUACAGAAUAUUUAGUGAAAUCUUUCGUUCUUAAAAUUAUUACAACAAACAAACUGAAGUGGCUGAACGGCUAAGUUAAACUGUUAAGAAGAACACUCCGAAUCAUUCCACAUGCGGAAGUGUUUAGUGGUCACAAACCGCUUUAUUUUGGAUUCGACUUCCGUUCAAUACUGCUUUGACGAACGAAUUCCUAGUAAUGUUGAAAGAAAAUUAAUUCAAUUGUAAAAAACCUAAACUGUUAUUUGGAAUAUCAAGAAAACAGGAUGUCUA